rnacentral:misc_RNA from 1 species
GGAACUUUCCCGUUACGUAUCAAAAUCUGAAGUUCAUUGAACUGUACCAAGUUAGUUUUGAAGACAUGAAGGAGUUAUUUGUUGUGCUUCGCUUGAUUGUGAGUUCUCCUAAUCUAGAGGAGCUUCAGAUAUCUAGUUCCUCGAUUACAACCACCACCGAUAUUUAUGAUCUAGAAUUUUGGGAGAGAGACUGGCCUGCUGACUGCAUUUUUGGUAAACUGAAGAUUGUGCAUAUGACUGAUUUCUCCGGUCUGCCACAUGAAAUCGCAUUUAUCAAAUUCUUACUUGGACAUUCACCUGUUCUCGAACAAAUGAUUGUGGCUCCUACUAUAUACG